UACGUAGGGUGCAGGCGUUGUCCGGAAUUAUUGGGCGUAAAGCGCGCGCAGGCGGUCCUUUAAGUCUGAUGUGAAAGCCCACGGCUCAGCCGUGGAGGGUCAUUGGAAACUGGGGGACUUGAGUACAGAAGAGGAAAGCGGAAUUCCACGUGUAGCGGUGAAAUGCGUAGAGAUGUGGAGGAACACCAGUGGCGAAGGCGGCUUUCUGGUCUGUAACUGACGCUGAGGCGCGAAAGCGUGGGGAGCAAACAGG
rnacentral:rRNA from 1 species